CACGGGGGGAGCAAGCGUUGUUCGGAAUCACUGGGCGUAAAGGGCGUGUAGGCGGUCAAGUAAGUGGAAUGUGAAAGCCCCCGGCUUACCCGGGGAUCUGCAUCCCAAACUGCUUGGCUUGAGUACGGGAGAGGAUAGGGGAAUUCCUGGUGUAGCGGUGAAAUGCGUAGAUAUCAGGAGGAACACCGGUGGCGAAGGCGGGUCUCUGGGCAGUAACUGACGCUGAGGAGCGAAAGCGUGGGGAGCGAACAGG
rnacentral:rRNA from 1 species